GCUCAGCGGCGGCUCGAACGCGCAGCUCUGGUCGCAGUCAGCUGGAGGUUUUUCGUCGCUCACCGAGGUUCGCCGGGUCAUGGUGCCAGCCUGACUGAGAAGAGGACGCUCCCGGGAGACGAAUGAGGAACCACCUCCUCCUGCUGUUCAAGUACAGGGGCUUGGUCCGCAAAGGGAAGAAAAGCAAAAGACGAAAAUGGCUAAAUUCGUGAUCCGCCCGGCCACCGCCGCCGACUGCAGUGACAUCCUGCGGCUGAUCAAGGAACUGGCUAAAUAUGAAUACAUGGAAGAGCAAGUAAUAUUAACUGAAAAAGAUCUGCUAGAGGAUGGUUUUGGAGAGCACCCCUUCUACCACUGCCUGGUUGCAGAAGUGCCCAAGGAGCACGGGACUCCGGAAGGUAACCGUCCUCCCGUUUCAGAAGCCAAAGAAACCAAGUGUUGUGUAAAUCGUAGUGUCUGCUGUGUAGAGAACCACUUACAACACAGGCCGAAGUUACUGAGAAGUUGGCCAGAAAUAAUAGCCAACCAGUGUUCAGACUACUGAGGAAAAAAAAUAGAUGUGCGGCACUUAAUAAUAGGGCGGGUUAAAAGAGCUGUUUAAGUAAGUAUCAGAGUGCUGUGGAGACCCGGAAGAGUUUGAGCUGUUUAAGUAAGUAUCAGAGUGCUGUGGAGACCCGGAAGAGUUAGGUAUAAUGUCAUUUGUUGUAGUUCAGUUUCAUAAAUGGUUCUUGUUUGACCCUAACGUAACCUUUUUUGUAAUUGUUAAAUCACAUUUUUUUCUUUAAUUUGUCCCAAUCUUCAGGUUACAGUCUCUAGCUUCGCCAUGUACAUGGCCCUUCCGUGUACAUGGAUGGGCGGGGAGGUAACUAAAAGAUCCUUUACACAAUAAAGUAGAUGAUCAUGAUAAAUGAGGACACAGCAUUGUCGGUUUCGCCAUGUACUAUUUUACCUAUGACCCAUGGAUUGGCAAACUAUUGUAUCUUGAGGACUUCUUCGUGAUGAGUGAUUAUAGAGGCUUUGGCAUAGGAUCAGAAAUUCUGAAGAACCUAAGCCAGGUUGCGAUGAAAUGUCGCUGCAGCAGCAUGCACUUCUUGGUAGCAGAAUGGAAUGAACCAUCUAUCAACUUCUACAAAAGAAGAGGUGCUUCUGACCUGUCCAGCGAAGAGGGAUGGAGACUCUUCAAGAUCGACAAGGAGUACUUGCUAAAAAUGGCAGCAGAGGAGUGAGGAGUGCUGGUGUAGACGAUGACAGCUUCCAUUCUAUUUUAGAAUAAAUUCUCAACUUAUCUUGCUUUCUAUCCUGUUUGUAGUGAAAUAAUAGAAUGAGCACCCAUUCCAAAGCUUUAUUACCAGUGGCGUUGUUGCAUGUUUGAAAUGUGGUCAGUCUGAGAUGGCAAUCUUGUAUGCAGUUCGGAGUCAGAUUUCUCCUUGAACAUCUUUUUGAUAAACAACUAGGUGGUGUGAUCUUAAUGUAUAUGAAAAAAACUUCAUUCUUGUGAGUCAUUUAAAUGUGUACAAUGUACACACUGGUAUUUAGAGUUUCUGUUUUGAUUCUUUUUUAAUAAACUGCCCUUUGAUUUAA